CCUUUUAUUCCAGCAGCCGCGGUAAUACGUUCCCGGGCCUUGCAUACACCGCCCGUCACACCAUGGGAGUCGAUUGCUCCAGAAGUCAUCCCACCAAGGGGUGCCCAAGGAGUGCUCGGUAACUGGGGUGAAGUCGUAACAAGGUAGCCGUAGGGGAACCUGCGGCUGGAUCACCUCCUUUCUAAGGAGACCGGGUACACGGUGAGCGCUUCGGCGCCACAGGGUGUACCAGCAACGAAAGUUGCCUAGGUCGACCAGGUCAACGUUUUCGCAAUACUGUCUCGGGCUUGCUGUUUGGUUUUGAGGGACCGAGUCCAAGCGACUCGGCUCUUUGAAAGAAAAGGUAGCUGUUACGGGAAUCUCACCAACUGGGCCUAUAGCUCAGCUGGCUAGAGCGCGCGCCUGAUAAGCGCGAGGUCGGUGGUUCAAGUCCACCUAGGCCCACCAGUUUCCUCGAGGAGGAGCUGGAAUGCGAUGACAGCCGGCAGGUGAAACACCACGACAGUUUGGGGCUGUAGCUCAGUUGGGAGAGCGCCAGCUUUGCAAGCUGGAUGUCGUCGGUUCGAUUCCGAUCAGCUCCACAAGUUUUCCAACCAAUGGGUUGGAAGCGUUCUUUGACAAGUGCAUACGAAGGGUAGAAUUCAAUUUCUGCUGAGAAGUUCUGCUCGUCGAGCGGAAAGCAGUCUGAGCCGUGAGGCCAGGCGGC
rnacentral:misc_RNA from 1 species